UACGUAGGUGGCAAGCGUUGUCCGGAUUUAUUGGGUUUAAAGGGUGCGUAGGUGGUCUAUUAAGUCAGUGCUGAAAUAUCCCGGCUUAACCGGGAGGGUGGCAUUGAUACUGAUGGACUUGAGUGGAGUCGAGGUAGGCGGAGUUGACGGUGUAGCGGUGAAAUGCUUAGAUAUCGUCAAGAACACCGAUAGUGCAGACAGCUUACUAGGCUCUAACUGACACUGAGGCACGAAAGUGUGGGGAUCAAACAGG
rnacentral:rRNA from 1 species